CGGAAACGGGUAGAUUAAACACUGUAGGCUGACCUUGCCCCUGGAAGUGGGGGGAUAACCUUGGGGAAAACUUCGGGGCUUAAUACCCGGCAUAAACCACCCCGGACCGGCAACAAGUACAUCGGGGUACAAAGCCCGCGACAAGGGCCCGCUGGGAGGAGGGGGCCUGCGNCCCGAUUUAGCUAGUUGGGUAGGGUAAAUGGCCUACACAAGGCGAUGAUCGGUAGCCGGCCUGAGAGGGCGCACGGCCACACUGGCACUGACACACGGGCCAGACUCCUACGGGAGGCAGCAGUGGGGAAUUUNGCACAAUGCCCGAAAGGGUGAUGCAGCAACGCCGCGUGAGGGAUGAAGGCCUUCGGGUCGUAAACCUCUUUCGACCGGGAAAAACGGCCCUGUGAAGAGCGGGGUCUGAUGGUACCGGUGGAAGAAGCCCCGGCCAACUACGUG
rnacentral:rRNA from 1 species